GGGGAUUUAGCUCAGUGGCAUAAGCGCCUGCCUUACAAGCAGGCAGCCAUGAGUUCAAUCCCCG
rnacentral:tRNA from 1 species